CCUUUCAAGCCUCCCCGGACCCAAAGAGUCCCUGGAGUGCAGAAGCUUGAGAAAAUGGGGGGCGGGGGGGCCUGGAGGCAAGUUCGAGGCCCACCAUGGUCAGCUUCCCUGAGGAAGAGGCCCAGAGGACACUCAGGUAACAAACGUUCUCCCAUCAAACCUCUGUGCAAAAGCCAGUUGUCCUCAAGAAGACGCCGGACGGAGCAGGUGGCCUUGGUGACUGGCGUGAGGGAAGGCUUCGGGGUGGCGUGGUGGUUAAGGUGCUGGACACCCAC